GCGCCGUUAGCUCAACUGGCAGAGCAGGGGCCUCUUAAGCCCAAGGUUGGGGGUUCGAUUCCCUCACGGCGCA
rnacentral:tRNA from 1 species